rnacentral:rRNA from 1 species
GACGAACGCUGGCGGCGUGCUUAACACAUGCAAGUCGAGCGACUGCAUUCUUUUCGGAGGGUGUAUGGAGCGGCGAACGGGUGAGUAACACGUGAGUAAUCUGCCUUUGGCUUGGGAAUAACUUCGGGAAAUCGGGGCUAAUGCCUGAUGUUUACUGUCUGCUGCAUGGUGGGUGGUGGAAAGAUUUUUUGGCCAGGGAUGAGCUCGCGGUCUAUCAGCUGUUGGUGGGGUAAUGGCUUACCAAGGCUUUGACGGGUAGCCGGCCUGAGAGGGUGUUCGGCCACACUGGGACUGAGACACGGCCCAGACUCCUACGGGAGCAGCGAGUGGGGAAUAUUGCGCAAUGGGCGUAAGCCUGACGCAGCGACGCCGC